rnacentral:rRNA from 1 species
GGCCUGAUAGCACUUUACUUUUUUAAAGACCUUCGUUUGAAGGUAUGCUUAAGGAGGGGCUUGCGACACAUUAGUUAGUUGGCAGGGUAAAGGCCUACCAAGACUAUGAUGUGUAGCUGGACUGAGAGGUUGAACAGCCACAUUGGGACUGAGACACGGCCCAAACUCCUACGGGAGGCAGCAGUAGGGAAUUUUCGGCAAUGGAGGAAACUCUGACCGAGCAACGCCGCGUGAACGAUGAAGUACCUCGGUAUGUAAAGUUCUUUUAUUAAGGAAGAAAAAAGAGUGGAAAAACUCCCUUGACAGUACUUAAUGAAUAAGCCCCGGCUAAUUAUGUGCCAGCAGCCGCGGUAAUACAUAAGGGGCGAGCGUUAUCCGGAAUUAUUGGGCGUAAAGGGUGCGUAGGCGGUUUAAUAAGUCUAUAGUUUAAUUUCAGCGCUUAACGCUGUUGUGCUAUAGAAACUGUUUUACUAGAGUGAGAUAGAGGCAAGCGGAAUUCCAUGUGUAGCGGUAAAAUGCGUAAAUAUAUGGAGGAACACCAGAGGCGUAGGCGGCUUGCUGGGUCUUUACUGACGCUGAGGCACGAAAGCGUGGGGAGCAAACAGGAUUAGAUACCCUGGUAGUCCACGCCGUAAACGAUGAGUACUAAGUGUCGGGUAAAACCGGUACUGAAGUUAACACAUUAAGUACUCCGCCUGAGUAGUACGUACGCAAGUAUGAAACUUAAAGGAAUUGACGGGACUCCGCACAAGCGGUGGAUCAUGUUGUUUAAUUCGAAGAUACACGAAAAACCUUACCCGGUCUUGACAUUUUCUUGCAAAGUUAUAGAAAUAUAAUGGAGGUUAUCA